GAGGCCUGCCUGCCCAGUGACAAACGUUCAACGGCCGCGGUAUCCUGACCGUGCAAAGGUAGCAUAAUCACUUGUUCCUUAAUUGGGGACUGGAAUGAAUGGCCUCACGAGGAUUCAACUGUCUCUUACCUCUAAUCAGUGAAAUUGACCUCCCCGUGAAGAGGCGGGGAUACAACAACAAGACGAGAAGACCCUAUGGAGCUUUAAUUUUCUGUCUUAACUACUAAAUAACUAACCCUACUGGGAUAAAAAAAAGAGAAAUAAGUCAGUAAUUUCGGUUGGGGUGACCUCGGAGAAUAAGACAACCUCCGAAUGAUUUUAACCAAGACAAACAAGUCAAAGUAUUAAAAAUCAAAUUGACCCAAUUCAUUUGAUCAACGGACCAAGUUACCCUAGGGAUAACAGCGCAAUCCUAUUCAAGAGUCCAUAUCGACAAUUAGGGUUUACGACCUCGAUGUUGGAUCAGGACAUCCCAAUGGUGCAGCAGCUAUUAAUGGUUCGUUUGUUCAACGAUUAAAGUCCUACGUGAUCUG
rnacentral:rRNA from 1 species